rnacentral:ncRNA from 1 species
CAAAGAUUUGGUCCUAGCCUUACUGUUAUUUUUUGCUAAACUUACACAUGCAAGUAUCAACACACCAGUGAGAAUGCCCUAACAGUCCCCCCCCGACAAAAGGAGCUGGUAUCAGGCACACCAUGACAGCCCACAACACCUAGCUUUGCCACACCCCCAAGGGUACUUCAGCAGUGACAAAAAUUAAGCAAUGAACGCAAGUUUGACUUAGUUACAGCAAACAGAGUUGGUCAAUCUUGUGCCAGCCACCGCGGUUAUACAAGAAACUCAAGCUAACAGAAAACCGGCGUAAAAUGUGACUAAAAUAUAAUCUAAGAAAUUAAGGCGGCCCCUCACCUAACUGUCAUACGUAAAAGUAUACAUCACCCCGCUACGAAAGUAACCUUAAUGUAACAGAACUAUUCGAACUCACGAUCGCUAAGACACAAACUGGGAUUAGAUACCCCACUAUGCUUAACCCUAAACUUAGACAUUCCAUAUACAAGAAUGUCCGCCAGAGAACUACGAGCAAAACGCUUAAAACUCAAAGGACUUGGCGGUACCUCAAACCCCCCUAGAGGAGCCUGUUCUAUAAUCGAUAAUCCACGAUACACCUCACCAUCUCUUGCCAAUUCCGCCUAUAUACCACCGUCACCAGCCUACCCCAUGAGGGAUUUAAAAGUAGGCAAGAUAACUAAAAACAGUUAAUAAGCCAGGUCAAGGUGUAGCUAACUGAGAUGGAAGAAAUGGGCUACAUUUUCUACGCUAGAAAUCAAUUUACGGAAGGAAACUAUGAAAUCAGUCCUACAAGUAGGAUUUAGCAGUAAACCUGGAUCAGAACGCCUAAUUUAAGCCGGUCCUGAGGUGCGCACACACCGCCCGUCACCCUCCUCAAAUAUCAAAUAACCAUUUAAUAAACCACAACAAACAAAUAGAGGAGGUAAGUCGUAACAAGGUAAGUGCACCGGAAGGUGUACUUGGAACAUU